GGAAAGGCGCGCGAUACAGGGUGACAGCCCCGUACACAAAAAUGCACAUGCUGUGAGCUCGAUGAGUAGGGCGGGACACGUGGUAUCCUGUCUGAAUAUGGGGGGACCAUCCUCCAAGGCUAAAUACUCCUGACUGACCGAUAGUGAACCAGUACCGUGAGGGAAAGGCGAAAAGAACCCCGGCGAGGGGAGUGAAAAAGAACCUGAAACCGUGUACGUACAAGCAGUGGGAGCACGCUUAGGCGUGUGACUGCGUACCUUUUGUAUAAUGGGUCAGCGACUUAUAUUCUGUAGCAAGGUUAACCGAAUAGGGGAGCCGAAGGGAAACCGAGUCUUAACUGGGCGUUAAGUUGCAGGGUAUAGACCCGAAACCCGGUGAUCUAGCCAUGGGCAGGUUGAAGGUUGGGUAACACUAACUGGAGGACCGAACCGACUAAUGUUGAAAAAUUAGCGGAUGACUUGUGGCUGGGGGUGAAAGGCCAAUCAAACCGGGAGAUAGCUGGUUCUCCCCGAAAGCUAUUUAGGUAGCGCCUCGUGAA
rnacentral:rRNA from 1 species